AUUGAACGCUGGCGGCAGGCCUAACACAUGCAAGUCGAGCGGAGCGGCGGACGGGUGAGUAAUGCCUAGGAAUCUGCCUGGUAGUGGGGGAUAACGUCCGGAAACGGGCGCUAAUACCGCAUACUAUCAGAUGAGCCUAGGUCGGAUUAGCUAGUUGGUGGGGUAAAGGCCUACCAAGGCGACGAUCCGUAACUGGUCUGAGAGGAUGAUCAGUCACACUGGAACGUGGACAAGGCCCAGACUCCAACGGGAGGCAUCAGUGGGGAAUAUUGGAAAAUGGGCGAAAGCCUUAACCAGCCAUUCCGCGGAUGGUAAGAAGGUCUUCGGAUUGUAAAGCACUUUAAGUUGGGAGGCGUUACCAACAGAAUAAGCACCGGCUAACUUCGUGCCAGCCGCCGCGGUAAUAC
rnacentral:rRNA from 1 species